UAGGUGGUUUGUCGCGUUGUUCGUGAAAACUCACAGCUCAACUGUGGGCGUGCGGGCGAUACGGGCAGACUGGAGUACUGCAGGGGAGACUGGAAUUCCUGGUGUAGCGGUGGAAUGCGCAGAUACCAGGAGGAACACCGGUGGCGAAGGCGGGUCUCUGGGCAGUAACUGACGCUGAGGAGCGAAAGCGUGGGGAGCGAACAGGAUUAGAUACCCUGGUAGUCCACGCCGUAAACGGUGGGUACUAGGUGUGGGUUUCCUUCCUUGGGAUCCGUGCCGU
rnacentral:rRNA from 1 species